rnacentral:rRNA from 1 species
GAUGAACGCUGGCGGCGUGCUUAACACAUGCAAGUCGAACGAAGAAGAGUUGAAUGAGAGCUUCGGCAGGAUUUCUUCUCAUCUUAGUGGCGGACGGGUGAGUAACGUGUGGGCAACCUGCCCUAUACUGGGGAAUAAUCACUGGAAACGGUGACUAAUACCGCAUGUCAUCACCGGAGGGCAUCCUCUGGUGAAAAAAGGAGCAAUUCGGUAUAGGAUGGGCCCGCAUCUGAUUAGCUAGUUGGUGAGAUAACAGCCCACCAAGGCGACGAUCAGUAGCCGACCUGAGAGGGUGAUCGGCCACAUUGGGACUGAGACACGGCCCAAACUCCUACGGGAGGCAGCAGUGGGAAUAUUGCACAAGUGGGGGAAACCCUGAUGCAGCAACGCCGCGUGAAGGAUGAAGGUUUUCGGAUCGUAAAGCUCUGUCUUAGGGGACGAUAAUGACGGUACCCUGAGAGGAAGCCACGGCUAACUACGUGCCAG